UACGUAGGGGGCAAGCGUUGUCCGGAUUUAUUGGGCGUAAAGAGCGUGUAGGCGGCCACACAGGUCAGCUGUGAAAACUCGAGGCUCAACCUCGAGACGUCGGUUGAAACCGUAUGGCUAGAGUCCGGAAGAGGAGAGUGGAAUUCCCGGUGUAGCGGUGAAAUGCGCAGAUAUCGGGAAGAACACCCGUGGCGAAGGCGGCUCUCUGGGACGGUACUGACGCUGAGGCACGAAAGCGUGGGGAGCAAACAGG
rnacentral:rRNA from 1 species